rnacentral:rRNA from 1 species
UACAGAGGGUGCGAGCGUUGUUCGGAAUUACUGGGUGUAAAGGGUUCGUAGGCGGUGCGGCAAGUUGGGAGUGAAAUCUCUGGGCUCAACCCAGAGACGGCUUCCAAAACUGCUGUGCUUGAGUGUGGGAGAGGCUCGUGGAAUUGCAGGUGUAGCGGUGAAAUGCGUAGAUAUCUGCAGGAACACCCGUGGCGAAAGCGGCGAGCUGGACCACUACUGACGCUGAAGAACGAAAGCUAGGGGAGCAAACAGG